AGCAGCCGCGGUAAUUCCAGCUCCAAUAGCGUAUAUUAAAGUUGUUGCAGUUAAAAAGCUCGUAGUUGAAUUUCGGGAUCGAAUUGUUGGUCGUGCUUCGGUACGCACUGGCAUUAUCGGUUUCUACCUUCUGAAGAACCGCGAUGUCAUUAAUUUGGUGUCGUGGGGAAUCAGGACUGUUACUUUGAAAAAAUUAGAGUGUUUAAAGCAGGCGCACGCUUGAAUACAUUAGCAUGGAAUAAUGAAAUAGGACGUUUGAUUCUAUUUUGUUGGUUUCUAGGAUCGACGUAAUGAUUAAUAGGGAUAGUUGGGGGCAUUAGUAUUCAAUUGUCAGAGGUGAAAUUCUUGGAUUUAUUGAAGACUAACUACUGCGAAAGCAUUUGCCAAGGAUGUUUUCAUUAAUCAAGAACGAAAGUUAGGGGAUCGAAGACGAUCAGAUACCGUCGUAGUCUUAACCAUAAACUAUGCCGACUAGGGAUCGGAUGAUGUUAAUUUUAUAAUGACUC
rnacentral:rRNA from 1 species